rnacentral:misc_RNA from 1 species
AAGUCGUAACAAGGUUUCCGUAGGUGAACCUGCGGAAGGAUCAUUACAGAGUUAGGGUCUUCUAGGCCCGACCUCCCAACCCUUUGUUUAACCAACUCUUGUUGCUUCGGCGGGCCCGUCCCUCACCGGACCGCCGGAGGACCGUACUCGCGGUCCUCUGGCCCGCGCCCGUCGGUGGCCGUUUAUACCUAAACUCAUGAAUCCAAUCGUGCCUAUGUCUGAGUAUUAUAUGAAAAUAAAAGCAAAACUUUCAACAACGGAUCUCUUGGUUCUG